rnacentral:rRNA from 1 species
UCAGAUUGAACGCUGGCGGCAGGCUUAACACAUGCAAGUCGAGCGGUAGCACAGGGGAGCUUGCUCCCUGGGUGACGAGCGGCGGACGGGUGAGUAAUGUCUGGGAAACUGCCUGAUGGAGGGGGAUAACUACUGGAAACGGUAGCUAAUACCGCAUAACGUCGCAAGACCAAAGAGGGGGACCUUCGGGCCUCUUGCCAUCAGAUGUGCCCAGAUGGGAUUAGCUAGUAGGUGGGGUAAUGGCUCACCUAGGCGACGAUCCCUAGCUGGUCUGAGAGGAUGACCAGCCACACUGGAACUGAGACACGGUCCAGACUCCUACGGGAGGCAGCAGUGGGGAAUAUUGCACAAUGGGCGCAAGCCUGAUGCAGCCAUGCCGCGUGUGUGAAGAAGGCCUUCGGGUUGUAAAGCACUUUCAGCGAGGAGGAAGGUGGUGAACUUAAUACGUUCAUCAAUUGACGUUACUCGCAGAAGAAGCACCGGCUAACUCCGUGCCAGCAGCCGCGGUAAUACGGAGGGUGCAAGCGUUAAUCGGAAUUACUGGGCGUAAAGCGCACGCAGGCGGUUUGUUAAGUCAGAUGUGAAAUCCCCGGGCUCAACCUGGGAACUGCAUUUGAAACUGGCAAGCUAGAGUCUCGUAGAGGGGGGUAGAAUUCCAGGUGUAGCGGUGAAAUGCGUAGAGAUCUGGAGGAAUACCGGUGGCGAAGGCGGCCCCCUGGA